rnacentral:rRNA from 1 species
UACGUAGGGUGCAAGCGUUGCCCGGAUUUAUUGGGCGUAAAGGGCGCGCAGGCGGCCCGGCGCGUCCGCGGUGAAAGCUCCCGGCUCAACUGGGAGAGGUCCGCGGAAACGGUCGGGCUGGAGCAAGGUAGGGGGUCGUGGAAUUCCCGGUGUAGUGGUGGAAUGCGUAGAGAUCGGGAGGAACACCAGUGGCGAAGGCGGCGACCUGGACCUGUGCUGACGCUGAGGCGCGAAAGCGUGGGGAGCGAGCCGG